rnacentral:lncRNA from 1 species
GAAAUGAACAAACAGUGUGGGUGCCCUCAAGGUGUGUACGACCAUGGAAUGGGAGACUGGAGGGACACAUGGAUCCCAACCAUGGGCCUGGUUCCCCCACUAUGAGCUGAAUACGAAGACAGAACAAACCACCAACCGGCAAUUGAAGUGACACACAGUGAACCGGGUUCUAUAAAUUACCAUGGCAAGUGGUGAGCCAACGAUUUGGCAGAACAAAGCCCCGAGGAUAUGACAAACAAAAGGGAAUAUGGAAUUUGCAAUUGCAGAUUAAAAUUGAAGAAGAAAACAUUUGAGUUGCAAAUACCAUAUUAAAAGUGGACACUGCUUAUGACUGCUGUACGCAAUAGUUUUUCAGGCCCGAGGUGAUAAAUAAAAAAUUGUUUGCUCCAUUUAA